UACGAAGGGGGCUAGCGUUGCUCGGAAUCACUGGGCGUAAAGGGUGCGUAGGCGGGUUUUUAAGUCAGGGGUGAAAUCCUGGAGCUCAACUCCAGAACUGCCUUUGAUACUGAAGAUCUUGAGUCCGGGAGAGGUGAGUGGAACUGCGAGUGUAGAGGUGAAAUUCGUAGAUAUUCGGAAGAACACCAGUGGCGAAGGCGGCUCACUGGCCCGGUACUGACGCUGAGGUGCGAAAGCGUGGGGAGCAAACAGG
rnacentral:rRNA from 1 species